ncrna:unclassified sequences Twister-sister ribozyme sequence
ACAACCCGCAAGGCCGACGCACAACGCGCCGCCGGUGCAAGCCCGGCCACCCUGCAAGGGGUGGGCGCUCAUGGGUACACA